rnacentral:rRNA from 1 species
GAUGAACGCUGGCGGCGUGCCUAAUACAUGCAAGUCGAGCGAAUGGAUUAAGAGCUUGCUCUUAUGAAGUUAGCGGCGGACGGGUGAGUAACACGUGGGUAACCUGCCCCUAAGACUGGGAUAACUCCGGGAAACCGGGGCUAAUACCGGAUAACAUUUUGAACCGCAUGGUUCGAAAUUGAAAGGCGGCUUCGGCUGUCACUUAUGGAUGGACCCGCGUCGCAGUAGCUAGUCGGUGAGGUAACGGCUCAUCAAGGCAACGAUGCGUAGCCGACCGGGGAGCGUGAUCGGCAGCGGUGGGGCUGAGACCCGGCCCAGACUCCUACGGGAGGCAGCAUGAGGGAAUCUUCCGGAAUGGACGAAGGUCUGACGGAGCAACGGCGCGUGAGUGAUGACGGCUUUCGGGUCGUAAAACUCUGUUGUUAGAGAAGAACAAGUGCUAGUUGAAUAAGCUGACACCUUGACGGUACCUAACCAGAAAGCCACGGCUAACUACGUGCCAGCCGCCGCGGUAA